GUGAAAAGGACGUCAGGCAGUCCACCUCUCAUUCUGGCUAUUUUACCAAAUUAUUAAUACAAAUGAUAUCCAUCCCUUGCAAGGGGAUCUAGUCCAGGAGUUCUGAAGACGGUAAAUUAACCAAGUCCAGGAGACUAGGCCUGGGAGAAAUUUGGCAUGAUGUAAUGAGCAAUAAAGAAACAAGCUGAAUACCAGGAAUUUUCUUCAAUACCCCUUAAAUGGAAAUCAGCACUUCAACUGCCUCCCAGUGGGAAGACAUCACCUGGCCUCAUCAGUAGUAAGACCCAUACACACAAGGAAUAUCAUGUAAUAGCAGGUAGGACAGGCCUACCCUAUUUCCCAGGCAGCAUAAACGUCAGUCUUCAUACCCACUGUGUCAACAAUGACACAGUACCAUUCUCCGACCCGUGUCUCCAGGCAAGAAGACUGACAAAAGUGUAUAGGGUAAUAACAGUGUACAAUCAAUGUGUACAACCCCAAAAAAAGUACAUUAUAACGCGUCCUGACAUCGGAGAUGGGCAUCAGACGCGACUUCUUGUUGGUGAGAAAUGGAGCUAAAGACCUCUACUCCGGUGUCAGGACGCGUUAUAAUUUACUUUUCUUGGGGUUGUACACAUUGAUCGUACAUGGUCCACCCCUGUACCAUGCGGUUUUUUACCCUAUGCAUACAAAUAGUAUUAUUAUUCUCGUAUCUUAAUGUCGUGGCAGGGAAAAUCCUCCCGCGACAUUUGGUGGCAGCGGUGGGAUCUGUAGCCCUGUGCUAUUGAUCCAGACCCUCUGUGCCUAUUUAUUAUGUAGGUCACUUAAAAUGUUUUGUCGUAUUGUAUGCAUUUCAUUGUACAAUAUUGUUGAUUUUUGUCUGAUUAAGGUCAUGACUUGUUUACAUGCAUAUUCAUUAUUUCUGUAGGAAGAUGUACGGCAUUGUCUCUUGAUGUAGUUUACUUUGUAUUAUUUGAUUAUAUAUGUUAGUGUUUGAAAUAUUGUAACAAUGGCGACUGGAACUGAUGAAUCAUAUAUUGAUCUAAUUCAGUUAGAACAAGAAACACAACAAACAUUACAGACAGUUAAGAGCUUCACUCAAUCCUACCAGGACAUUUGGUCUCAAGUGGGAGAUUUAACAAAUCAAAUCAAGGACUUGGACCAGAAGUUGGUUGACAUACAGGGUACAAUACAACACUUAACACCCAGCCAUAAUAACACUUAACCAUCCAUAAUGUCUACACCACAUACGUCUCACAUUUCAAGUAAUGAACAAAGGAAUAAUGUAAAACAUUUUGUACAAGAAUUCACAUAGUGCCCUGGUUGGGAAUGUGAUUGUGGUCUUAUGGGUCUUGUCUUAUAGGAUAUUGUCAGAGUUUUGCUCUUGUACUGGUUUGGUACAUCUUAGAGGAUAGAGUACACCACUUUCCAAACCCCUUUGAGAUUCAAGUUUAGAGUCGUUUCUAA